UACGGAGGGGGCUAGCGUUGUUCGGAAUUACUGGGCGUAAAGCGCACGUAGGCGGACUGGAAAGUCAGGGGUGAAAUCCCGGGGCUCAACCCCGGAACUGCCUUUGAAACUCCCGGUCUUGAGGUCGAGAGAGGUGAGUAGAAUUCCGAGUGUAGAGGUGAAAUUCGUAGAUAUUCGGAGGAACACCAGUGGCGAAGGGGGCUCACUGGCUCGAUACUGACGUUGAGGUGCGAAAGCGUGGGGAGCAAACAGG
rnacentral:rRNA from 1 species